rnacentral:rRNA from 1 species
UACGGAGGAUCCAAGCGUUAUCCGGAAUCAUUGGGUUUAAAGGGUCCGUAGGCGGGAGAGUCAGUCAGUGGUGAAAGUCUGCAGCUUAACUGUAGAACUGCCAUUGAUACUGCUUUCCUUGAGUAAUUAUGAAGUGGUUAGAAUAUGUAGUGUAGCGGUGAAAUGCAUAGAUAUUACAUAGAAUACCGAUUGCGAAGGCAGAUCACUAAUAAUUUACUGACGCUGAUGGACGAAAGCGUAGGUAGCGAACAGG